UACAUGGGGUGCAAACGUUGCUCGGAAUUAUUGGGCGUAAAGCGCACGUAGGCGGUCCGUUAAGUCGGAUGUGAAAGCCCCCGGCUCAACCGGGGAAGUGCAUCCGAAACUGGCAGGCUAGAGUACGAAAGAGGGUCGCGGAAUUCCCGGUGUAGAGGUGAAAUUCGUAGAUAUCGGGAGGAACACCGGUGGCGAAGGCGGCGACCUGGGUCGAUACUGACGCUGAGGCGCGAAAGCGUGGGGAGCAAACAGG
rnacentral:rRNA from 1 species